rnacentral:lncRNA from 1 species
UGAUUUACUGAAUGUGGAUGGUGCUUUAUGUCUUCCAGGUGAAAUGUGCUGAAAGUGGAUGUAGAUGGCGCUUUUUUCUUCUUCCAGGAAACGAAGUGAAACAUGGUGGCUAUGGCUUUGCUGUAUUAUAGUGCAUGGAUUCACAAGGCCCUGUUAGGUGAUGAUGCCUUGAAGCUUCAGUGACAAGAAUGGCUUGACAGUGGCACAAGUUCUAUUCAGGGAAGCUCCUACUUUUCUCUUUUUUGAAUUAUGCAAGGUGAGUAAUCCUUCUAGUAUUGUACUAUCGAUAUGAAUAAACUAGCAUCUGGUACUUUAAUCAUUUUUUGCAUUUUGCUGGAUCUUCACUUGCAUGCAAACAGUUUGUACGAGCCACACAUGCAUGUAAACCGUAUGCAUUAUGGAAAUUUUGUACUCUGAACUCUGAACUUGAAUCAGAGCUGAAUGUUAACUCUGAAUUUUUCAGACUCCAUGUGUGAACUCUGAAACUUAUCAUACCCAAUUCAAGUGUGAAGCUAUAGAAGCAGUUAAAAAUCUUUCAGGAGCCAAGUUAGCUCGAAUCAGAGCAGAAAGCUAACAGCAAUGCUGCCAGAAGCUAACAGGCAACAACUAUUAUACUCAGAAGAGUAUCAACAUUUUCUAUUAUCACAGCAGCAUCGGUAUGACAAGAGUUCUUGUGUUUUCAGAACGUUGGGACUGGGCUUAGCUAGUUAUGAUGAGAAAUCACUUUCUUAUCUUAAAUACAUCAGUGAAAUGCAUAGUUUCAUAGAGGUUCACCAAAAGCGAAAUGUCAUUUUUAUAGUGUCACUGUCAGCGGAUAAAACUGCUUUACCUUGAAGUGCAUAGUCUAUGUUUAGUAUCUAAAAAAUGUAUUGAAGGCAUGUGAUGAAAUCCAAGUGCAAAUGCUAGCUGAUUUGUAUCAUUCUUAUUUUCUGGAAUCUAUUUCUCCAACAUUUAAUGCAUAUUCAUUUAGAGUAGAUAAAUAAACUUCACAAGUGAACUUACUGCAUGAAGGCAAUGUGCUGACAGUUGAUAAUAAAAUACAGCUCCUGAAUUAAUCCCAAAAAUCUAUAUGGAGCAGAGAUAAAAACUCACAGAAGAGGCCAUGAUGAGCAAUCGACGCGGCGAGGAUCAGGAGAAUGAGAAGAGCAGCAACUGGGGGAUGAUCACAGAGGAGAGCCCAAUGAUCGCGCUACUCCAGAGCAAACUCUGUAAGGUUGUUUACCAACUGAAGUUUACACAAAGAGGCGAGCCUAAUGAUGAGAGAUUCAGGGGAUUGAACA